rnacentral:rRNA from 1 species
GACGAACGCUGGCGGCGUGCCUAAUACAUGCAAGUAGGACGCACAGUUUAUACCGUAGCUUGCUACACCAUAGACUGUGAGUUGCGAACGGGUGAGUAACGCGUAGGUAACCUGCCUGGUAGCGGGGGAUAACUAUUGGAAACGAUAGCUAAUACCGCAUAAUAUUAAUUAUUGCAUGAUAAUUAAUUGAAAGGUGCAAUUGCACCACUACCAGAUGGACCUGCGUUGUAUUAGCUAGUAGGUGAGGUAACGGCUCACCUAGGCGACGAUACAUAGCCGACCUGAGAGGGUGAUCGGCCACACUGGGACUGAGACACGGCCCAGACUCCUACGGGAGGCAGCAGUAGGGAAUCUUCGGCAAUGGACGAAAGUCUGACCGAGCAACGCCGCGUGAGUGAAGAAGGUUUUCGGAUCGUAAAGCUCUGUUGUAAGAGAAGAACGGGUGUGGGAGUGGAAAGUUCACACUGUGACGGUAUCUUACCAGAAAGGGACGGCUAACUACGUG